UCAAGUAGUGCCCAGUAUUUUUCUACAUUUUCUAGUCAACUUUGGCGAGAAACUUCAGAAUUUCCUAAAUUUCAAAGGUAUCGAAACUAAAAGUUUCGCUAAAUUAUUCAGUCAUGAUUGCUUGCUUUAUUCCCUAUCCUUUCCUUCUACUCAUGUUGUGUGCUGGCGCCGCAUUCUAUUUUUGUGCCUUGUGAGGAAAAUUUUGAAAAAACCUAAAUAUAAUGGGCCCGUUCAUCGUAUUCAUGUGCUGCACCACGGUGCUUACUCUUGGGUGCUUUUUCCUCCUACAAAAAAGAGGCUUCGGAUGUCAUUGUACUUGAAGAGCUCGGAGACAUAGGUUUGGUUGAUUCUAGACUCAAACAUGUAUCAAUUUGAUUUGGAGGACUGUAAAUUAGUGACAGCACAAAUAUAUAGUUUGUUCUAAAA